rnacentral:siRNA from 1 species
CUAGGAUGGGUGACUUCCCGGG